GGCCUAUUAGCUUAGUUGGUUAGAGCGUUAUGCUAAUAACGUGAAGGUUGCAAGUUCAAGAUCUGUAUGGGUCA